UUACAUUUUUCACAACAAGAAUGUUCAAAGUCACUGCACGUGCUUGUUCAAGCUCUACAGGGGAAAGCCGUACACGGUCACUGUCACCACCAUCAUUAGCAGCAUAUUGCGUUAGCCGCCUAAAAUCUCAACCAGGUUCCUGGCGGAAGGACGGCGGUGCCGCAACGUGCAACGGCAAACGACAGUACGUCAUCAAUUUGUCGGCGGCGAUUGACACGAACUUGUAACAAGGCUGGAUGUACGUCAUUCUACUCGCUGCGCAGCUACGCGAGGCAAUAUUCGCUCGCCGUUGACGUAUACGUGAUGUAUGGCAGCACAAAGAGAAAAAAAAUCAUUUCGCUAAAGCUCAUGCCAUCAGCCGGCCGUUGAAUUGUUCAAGGGACGACUUGUUCGACUGGCCGUACCACUCGCGUGUCGUUUGAGAAGAAGCGCAAACCUGCCUAUAAUCGUAGUGAAACUAGUCUACCCUCGAUCGCACGAAUGGCUUCGAAGAUGUUUGCCAUUUUAAGGUUAGGCGAGCUGAUGGAAACCACACACCGCGGACUUCAAUUAUUGAGUAUGCGAGAAAAUCGAACUUGUUUUUCUUCACAUACUCGACCCGGUUCUAUUCACAUAGACACAUCCAUUACAGAACUUAAAUUCACAUAACUUUAAAGCGCUUCGAUGAUAGUUGUACCAUUGCAAGGAGCGUAUAACUUACUUCGAGCAAAUCCGUAUGAAAAAUAAUCAAAUUAGAUCUGAUAAAUAAUCUUUUUCAAACUUGUGUUAAAAAAAACACUCGUACUUUUUGCUGGUUGUCACAUUCCUAAUCUAGGGAAGGUGCGAUAUACCAUAAAUUUGAUACAUAACAUUAUUCUUCUAACAAUCUGCAAGUCAUUAUAAAUAUUUGAUACAUUUGAGUUGUUAUAAUGACGAUAAUUGAGAAAAAUUAACGCUAAGCGUAGUUAAUGAAUCAGAGCAUUUGAAACCUCGAAAAGCACGUAAAACGGACACUCGACAUGUUUUUAUAGAUGUUUUUAUAAUCU